rnacentral:lncRNA from 10 species
GCAAUGCCGAUGCAGCUGGUUCUGAGAACUCCCAGCAAGGGCAUGGUGAUGAACCACAACCCUUGAUAUGUGUUGCUUGCUGGUCUGGAGAAAAUCAACCGUAAAAAACGGACAGGUGUAACUUGACCUGGGUGUGGGAAGUGAUAGUAACUUUGAGAGAAGGGGAGGAGGAAGAACUGAAAAGAUCUGAUUUUAGGGACACACAAGGCCUGGGUUAAGAAGAGGUGCAGAGGACCCUGCUGGCCCACACCAAGGAAGAUCGUUGCUAGUGGAAACAGCUUCAGGCAAGUGGC